rnacentral:rRNA from 3 species
ACUUAAAUUGAAGAGUUUGAUCAUGGCUCAGAUUGAACGCUGGCGGCAGGCCUAACACAUGCAAGUCGAGCGGUAGCACAGAGAGCUUGCUCUCGGGUGACGAGCGGCGGACGGGUGAGUAAUGUCUGGGAAACUGCCUGAUGGAGGGGGAUAACUACUGGAAACGGUAGCUAAUACCGCAUAAUGUCGCAAGACCAAAGUGGGGGACCUUCGGGCCUCAUGCCAUCAGAUGUGCCCAGAUGGGAUUAGCUAGUAGGUGGGGUAACGGCUCACCUAGGCGACGAUCCCUAGCUGGUCUGAGAGGAUGACCAGCCACACUGGAACUGAGACACGGUCCAGACUCCUACGGGAGGCAGCAGUGGGGAAUAUUGCACAAUGGGCGCAAGCCUGAUGCAGCCAUGCCGCGUGUGUGAAGAAGGCCUUCGGGUUGUAAAGCACUUUCAGCGGGGAGGAAGGCGAUAAGGUUAAUAACCUUGUCGAUUGACGUUACCCGCAGAAGAAGCACCGGCUAACUCCGUGCCAGCAGCCGCGGUAAUACGGAGGGUGCAAGCGUUAAUCGGAAUUACUGGGCGUAAAGCGCACGCAGGCGGUCUGUCAAGUCGGAUGUGAAAUCCCCGGGCUCAACCUGGGAACUGCAUUCGAAACUGGCAGGCUAGAGUCUUGUAGAGGGGGGUAGAAUUCCAGGUGUAGCGGUGAAAUGCGUAGAGAUCUGGAGGAAUACCGGUGGCGAAGGCGGCCCCCUGGACAAAGACUGACGCUCAGGUGCGAAAGCGUGGGGAGCAAACAGGAUUAGAUACCCUGGUAGUCCACGCCGUAAACGAUGUCGAUUUGGAGGUUGUGCCCUUGAGGCGUGGCUUCCGGAGCUAACGCGUUAAAUCGACCGCCUGGGGAGUACGGCCGCAAGGUUAAAACUCAAAUGAAUUGACGGGGGCCCGCACAAGCGGUGGAGCAUGUGGUUUAAUUCGAUGCAACGCGAAGAACCUUACCUGGUCUUGACAUCCACAGAACUUUCCAGAGAUGGAUUGGUGCCUUCGGGAACUGUGAGACAGGUGCUGCAUGGCUGUCGUCAGCUCGUGUUGUGAAAUGUUGGGUUAAGUCCCGCAACGAGCGCAACCCUUAUCCUUUGUUGCCAGCGGUCCGGCCGGGAACUCAAAGGAGACUGCCAGUGAUAAACUGGAGGAAGGUGGGGAUGACGUCAAGUCAUCAUGGCCCUUACGACCAGGGCUACACACGUGCUACAAUGGCAUAUACAAAGAGAAGCGACCUCGCGAGAGCAAGCGGACCUCAUAAAGUAUGUCGUAGUCCGGAUUGGAGUCUGCAACUCGACUCCAUGAAGUCGGAAUCGCUAGUAAUCGUAGAUCAGAAUGCUACGGUGAAUACGUUCCCGGGCCUUGUACACACCGCCCGUCACACCAUGGGAGUGGGUUGCAAAAGAAGUAGGUAGCUUAACCUUCGGGAGGGCGCUUACCACUUUGUGAUUCAUGACUGGGGUGAAGUCGUAACAAGGUAACCGUAGGGGAACCUGCGGUUGGAUCACCUCCUUACCUUAAAGAA